rnacentral:rRNA from 1 species
AUUGAACGCUGGCGGCAGGCCUAACACAUGCACGUCGAACGGCAGCACAGAAGAGCUUGCCCUUUGGGUGGCGAGUGGCGGACGGGUGAGUAAUGUCUGGGAAACUGCCCGAUGGAGGGGGAUAACUACUGGAAACGGUAGGUAAUACCGCAUAACGUCGCAAGACCAAAGUGGGGGACCUUCGGGCCUCACACCAUCGGAUGUGCCCAGAUGGGAUUAGCUAGUAGGUGGGGUAAUGGCUCACCUAGGCGACGAUCCCUAGCUGGGCUGAGCGGAUGACCAGCCACACUGGAACUGCGACACGGUCCAGACUCCUACGGGAGGCAGCAGUAGGGAAUAGUGCACAAUGGACGCAAGCAUGAUGCAGCCAUGCCGCGUGUAUGAAGAAGGCCUUACGGUUGUAAAGUACUUUCAGAGGUGAGGAAGGCGGUGAAGGUAAUAACCUUGCCGAUUGACGUUACCCGCAGAAGAAGCACCGGCUAACUCCGUGCCAGCAGCCGCGGUAA